AAGAGGGGGAAAGGUUUUCAAGGGCGCCAGGAGGACCCAGAAUUGCUGGUGCCGCCUGUGGGGAAACUCACCUCCUUUUGCCCAGGUCUGUCUGCUGCUCAGCUUUCCCUGAACUCAAACCGGCCUGACCAGCUUUGGUGAGGCUUUCUUCCACAUCUCUGUCUUUUGACUCACAGAUACAUACAAGGGAGGUUGGAGCUAAGCCGGGCCCUGCCAAGUUGGGAAGAUGAAAAAAGAUGCCUCUUCUUUGACUUUGCGGUUCUUCUGACUCUGGAGAGGCAUCUCUCUGCACCCCUGGGGCCAAACAAGACAGAAAACCCCCUUGAAGGGGAAGGAACACCCACAAGCCUUAUCCAGACCCAGCUGCUAUAGCAAGGGUCCACCUCUGGAAAAAGAUAUCUUUCUGGAUAUUGCCUGCCGCAAAGAGGGAAAAUGGCAGAGAGCUCCUUGUUUGCGCAGCGCCUGCAAGCCAUGAUGAUUCAGUGUUCGCUAUCUAUCAAAGGGGAUUUUGACAUCACAAGGGACGGAGACAUUUUGGAUCUCAGAGGAAGUACCUUUUUGUAUUGCUCAUGGAAUUCAAAUUAUAUUUCUUGAACUUUGGAAGGCUUUUGUUCCCCAUGCCAUGUGGCCAGAAGGAGGAGGGACAUACUUGUAUAGAUAUCCCUUCUCAUCAUCUCAACACAGAACAACACACCAGCAACAUCUUGACAAAAUGUAGGUCUAUGACUAACAUGGUCUAAUUUCAUAAUCCCCCCUUCUAUAUGAUGUUUAACAUCUUUACCUGGUGAAGAAGCUAGAAGAACUUCAAAAGUUUGCAUCAUGUAUUUUGUGCAUUUUGGUUGGUCAAAUAAAGAUAUCACUGUUUUGUGGA